UCUCCAGCCGGACUAUAUUUUUUUCCAAGCGACGGUUGGCAAACCCACUCUUUUCGUCAAAGAAAAAAAAGGAAAUGAACGGAUAACCUCCGUAGUUCUUGGAUCGAAAGCGGCGAGCAGUUUCGGCGGCGACGGAGAGAGGUGUCGGCGGCGAGCUCGUGGUAGCUGCUGGUCGACCCCUGAUGAGUGCGGCACUGGGGGUGGAAGGUUGGCCGGAGGCAGCAGCGAGGCGAGCUGUGCUGCAGGAGGCUUCGCGGCGGGUGACGGCUUCGCCCGCCGGCGGCCGUGUCGCAGUCUGCAUCGAUCCCCAGCCCCCUUCGUUGCUCGUGGCGAUGGUCCCCUGCUUCCACGCUUGGAAGGCCAUCGACUCGUAAGUCUACAAGCUGUCCCACGGCUGCCUUCAUUUCCACCCAGGUUUUAGGUUACUCAAGAUCAACUGAGUGCACUAGGCAUACAUAGUUGCAAAACGAUUCUGGAUUUUUGCUUGGUAAAUUUUCUGGAAUUACUAAUUUGUGCAUGUAUCGGUCAGCAAUCAAAAUCAUUUGUUGAUCGAGAAGUCCAAAAAUAGUAAGGUCCGUUCUCUUAACUGAAUUUUUAACUUUGCUCCCUAUUGUAUAUAUAUUCACACGAGAAGCAGGUAUUUAAUUGGGAAAAAAUCCUGGGAUUUUAAUUAGUAAUUUGCUGGUAUAGAAAGAUGGAUCUGUUAUUAAUAGACAUCAAGUAGUUCUUACGUUUCCUAUAGACAAUUCAUUGAGGAUAGGAACAUUGCAUGGAAAUUGAUUUUAUAAAUUAUUACAGAGAUAGCUAAUGAAACUAGAGUUGUACUCCGUAUUAGAACUGUUGCUCUUUAAGGUGUUUUGACUAUUGAGGUUUACUCUGGGUGUUGAAGUGCAACAAUUACUUCUCCCUGGAGGAUCUCUAUACUUUUGCAUGUUUGUAGUAUAUAAUAUCUGGUGUUCCUUCUUUUAAGUUUUUAAUUGUCAAAUUUCAUGUUGUUCUUGUUCCUGUUUGCUCUUUAUCCAAAUCUUCCUGGGAUUUAAAUCAGAAAGGAUGCUCAAUGGGACUUGGUCACGCCGAGAUAUCAGCAGCAAUCGGCACCGACAAAGCUCAAUUAUCUAUUGCAUAUUCAGAAGAAAGCAUCUCCUGUCGACAAUCAAGGCACUAUGACAGGUAGCUCAAGCCUAAGAUGCAAACAUCUCUAGGAAUGGAGUUGCUGACGGUAUGCAAAGAAUGAGACAAUGGUGAUGGUCAGGAUCGAUGUGUCAAGCAUCUGAGACAUAUCGACGUCAAGACAUGGAAGGGGGCUCUCUGCCCUUAUAGAUAGGCCUUCUUACCAUGCUGAAUUACCAACCUGCACAAUUAAUGUGUAUCGAAAUUAACUUUGGAAGAACAUUAAGCAUGCAAACAUAGCUGUGGAGAAUCCUUGAAACAUCUUACCUGCAAUGUUAACUUAAACCUUCUGGAUC